GGAAAUGUAACCUCUUUAAUUAAUAAAGCAUGCAAUCACUCUGUUAAAUAAACUUUCAAGUAAAAAAGUUCAUUACAUUCACUGUAGUGAAUGUACAGGCAUGCUUGGGGUGUGAGAAGGUUUCUGAAACACAAAACUGCAGUAUAGUAAAACACAAAGGAGAAAAUGAUUACAGUACAGACCAACAAUUAAUUUACACGAGACUCUGUGGGGUUAGAAGACACACCAAGUCAUAUAAGAUAUCUCGGCAAUGGUAGUCUGUGUUGAGGGCAUCAUCCAGCUAGUUCCAGCAACAUCAGCAUGCAUUUAACAGCACCCAUGGAAUUGCAACUUGUAAAACUUGCCAUACCUUUCUGCCAGUGUUUUCUCCAGGAAAGAUGUGCAAAUAGUUCUGCUGCAGUCUUGAACCGCAUUGCACGGACAACAUGUAGGGCUCACAGCUAUCCUUUUAGUGAGCUUCCUGUCACUUGUUUAAACUCUGUUGUUCCCCAAGGUCUAAAGAUCGAAGAAAACUGACAUUUGGUGGAUUGAAGCUGUCCAGAUUGUUUUGUGUGGGAAUUAGCAGUUAGUUGGACACAUCCUGCACUAUCAGAUUCAUGGAAACAAUUGUGAAAUGACUCAACUGAAAACUGUCCGUUUUAUAACAUGAGCAUGUUAUCUGGUCCUCUAGGCUCAAAUCUUCGACAAAAAAACUACAUAACAAUAAAGAUCCACAAGUUUAUCUCCUGUGGUACCCCCUAGGCGGCAAUCUUUUACUUGCUGGCAAUUAUCUUCGGGGUGCCUUCCUAGUUCCUAACCAGGAUAUGCUCAUUCGUGUGGUGUUAUGCCCUGUUUUUCAUAAAAUUUUGAAAAUCUCGCAAUAUAUAUAGCCUACUUCGUUUUCUCCGUUUGAGUCGGGAAAUCCUACAUUGGAUAUGAGUUCACCAAUGGUAUAAAGCCUGUUUAAUGUAAAAUUCUGGGAUCGCAUUUUUUUGGAGUUGUUGAAAAUGUGCUUGGGGAACAAAAGGGAAUAUAUUAUUAUAUCUAUAUUCUAAAAGGAAAAGGAGAAAUCAACCACCAUUUUAUAUUCGGCGUCUUGAUUUUCUAGAAAAAUUUCAAUCCUAAUAUCCUAUAACGUUUAACCUUCCAGAUUCAAGUUGGAAACUUUGAAUGAAACACUUUCAAACCUCAACACCGUGUUCUCGUCCCUCUCUCUGGAGUCUGGAUUCAAUCCGAGCUUUCUCUUCUCAUGUUCAUCGUCUUUCACAUUCUGAUGUCUUUUGGUUGGGGAAGCAACACACACAGAACAGCUAGGUCUAAAUUAAGGGUUAAAACUGCCGGGCACAAAUUCAUUCCAGGAGAAAAUUUUUAAUUCAUCGACUCUAAUUCGUCUGCUGAAUUACAAUCAUUUUUAGCCUUAUAUGUCAUAAUCCUAGCUAAGCACGUACUGAAUGAAGAUGCCUAAUUGGAUUCUAAAUCCGAGCUAACUCAAAAAACAGGACUCAGUAACCUGAAUAAAUUCUAAGAAUGCAACUUCAGCUCUAUCAGGAGUAAAUACUUCAGACUUCUUUUUCUUUGGACAGUCAGCAGCUCAACGUCCAAUCUCAUUAGCAUUUCUACCAACAUGCACAACAACGUUUAUGGUCUUCUACGAUGACAAGACCAUCAAAACAGCUUACGAGCUUGGUUUUAGUAGUCUUGAAGUCAUAAAGCUUUCAACAUGAAAUCCUUUCCAAAUAAUUGUUCCACAGCCCUUUAAUCUCUAUGUGAUAUAGACCUCUUGUUCUCAACUUUGUCUUUAGAUGUUUUUUCAUUUGUUUUCAUAAAAUACGUUACAACUUCAUUGAGGCCCCGAUCUAGACAGAAUACACAAACACAUUAUAUGUUUGUCGACAUGAUAUUGAAUAUUAACUCUCCCAGCGACCAGGUGACAUUAUUAAGUACAUUUUCAGGUAGCACACAUAUAUAUAUCGAAGCACGACUAUGCAGGGUAAAGGUGCAAUAACUAUAAGUGAAUGAUUCAUUAGCUAAGCAGAAAUAUAAUUAUUAGUUAUUCCCCAAACGCAGGUCAAAAGCUCAUCUAGGCCAUGAGCUAACUUAUUAAACAUGAGCUCAUUUCCUUCAAGGGAUGGCUAUGGCAUUGAAAAACAAAAGAUCCUAACAUCCCGUUUAUAUAAGUGAGAUUGUAUUCCUUGACAAUGUCAUUCCACCAACACAUAAAAACUGCCAAUGCUAUUCUAAUAAAUAAUAAUAAUCUUCACAGAAGAACAGAAAAGCCACAUUAAAAUUUCCAUGAGAAUUUAUUCAAUUUUUUUUUGUUAGGUUAUGAGAAUUUAUUCGAAAACAAGGAGUACACAACAAAUGUAUUUUCUCAAUUCUCAAAAACAUAAAGGUAAAUCCUAUUGAUUACCCUGAAUAACUCAUUGUACCUAGAAUUAAUUUUCAGUUUUUCAGUACCUGUUUCUGUGUUGGUGACACUUUAGUUGCAAUAUGAUUGAGACUCCUAAAGUCCGAACAGAAAUCAACACCGACACCAAAGAUUGCUUUUAGCAUGCUAUCCCAUUGAGACUGUUGGAGUGGGCUUAUUAGGGAUGGUGGUA
rnacentral:lncRNA from 1 species